rnacentral:rRNA from 1 species
UUAAGCGACUAAGCGUACACGGUGGAUGCCUAGGCAGUCAGAGGCGAUGAAGGGCGUGCUAAUCUGCGAAAAGCGUCGGUAAGGUGAUAUGAACCGUUACAACCGACGAUACCCGAAUGGGGAAACCCAGUGCAAUUCGUUGCACUAUUGCAUGGUGAAUACAUAGCCAUGCAAGGCGAACCGGGGGAACUGAAACAUCUAAGUACCCCGAGGAAAAGAAAUCAACCGAGAUUCCCCCAGUAGCGGCGAGCGAACGGGGAGGGGCCCAGAACCUGAAUCAGCGUAUGUGUUAGUGGAAGCGUCUGGAAAGUCGCACGGUACAGGGUGAUAGUCCCGUACACAAAAAUGCAUAUGUUGUGAGUUCGAUGAGUAGGGCGGGACACGUGACAUCCUGUCUGAAUAUGGGGGGACCAUCCUCCAAGGCUAAAUACUCCUGACUGACCGAUAGUGAACCAGUACCGUGAGGGAAAGGCGAAAAGAACCCCGGCGAGGGGAGUGAAAUAGAACCUGAAACCGUGUACGUACAAGCAGUGGGAGCACCUUCGUGGUGUGACUGCGUACCUUUUGUAUAAUGGGUCAGCGACUUAUAUUUUGUAGCAAGGUUAACCGAAUAGGGGAGCCGUAGGGAAACCGAGUCUUAACUGGGCGAAUAGUUGCAAGGUAUAGACCCGAAACCCGGUGAUCUAGCCAUGGGCAGGUUGAAGGUUGGGUAACACUAACUGGAGGACCGAACCGACUAAUGUUGAAAAAUUAGCGGAUGACUUGUGGCUGGGGGUGAAAGGCCAAUCAAACCGGGAGAUAGCUGGUUCUCCCCGAAAGCUAUUUAGGUAGCGCCUCGUGAACUCAUCUUCGGGGGUAGAGCACUGUUUCGGCUAGGGGGUCAUCCCGACUUACCAAACCGAUGCAAACUCCGAAUACCGAAGAAUGUUAUCACGGGAGACACACGGCGGGUGCUAACGUCCGUCGUGAAGAGGGAAACAACCCAGACCGCCAGCUAAGGUCCCAAAGUCAUGGUUAAGUGGGAAACGAUGUGGGAAGGCAUAGACAGCCAGGAUGUUGGCUUAGAAGCAGCCAUCAUUUAAAGAAAGCGUAAUAGCUCACUGGUCGAGUCGGCCUGCGCGGAAGAUGUAACGGGGCUAAACCAUGCACCGAAGCUGCGGCAGCGACGCUUAGGCGUUGUUGGGUAGGGGAGCGUUCUGUAAGCCGUUGAAGGUGACCUGUGAGGGUUGCUGGAGGUAUCAGAAGUGCGAAUGCUGACAUAAGUAACGAUAAUGCGGGUGAAAAACCCGCACGCCGGAAGACCAAGGGUUCCUGUCCAACGUUAAUCGGGGCAGGGUGAGUCGACCCCUAAGGCGAGGCUGAAAAGCGUAGUCGAUGGGAAACAGGUUAAUAUUCCUGUACUUGGUGUUACUGCGAAGGGGGGACGGAGAAGGCUAGGCUAGCCGGGCGACGGUUGUCCCGGUUUAAGCAUGUAGGCGGAGUGACUUGGUAAAUCCGGUUGCUUAUCAACGCUGAGGUGUGAUGACGAGUCACUACGGUGAUGAAGUAGUUGAUGCCAAGCUUCCAGGAAAAGCCUCUAAGCAUCAGGUAACAUUAAAUCGUACCCCAAACCGACACAGGUGGUCAGGUAGAGAAUACUCAGGCGCUUGAGAGAACUCGGGUGAAGGAACUAGGCAAAAUGGUGCCGUAACUUCGGGAGAAGGCACGCUGGCAUUAGGUAAAGGGACUUGCUCCCGGCGCCGAAGCCAGUCGCAGAUACCAGCUGGCUGCAACUGUUUAAUAAAAACACAGCACUGUGCAAACACGAAAGUGGACGUAUACGGUGUGACGCCUGCCCGGUGCUGGAAGGUUAAUUGAUGGGGUCAGCCGCAAGGCGAAGCUCUUGAUCGAAGCCCCAGUAAACGGCGGCCGUAACUAUAACGGUCCUAAGGUAGCGAAAUUCCUUGUCGGGUAAGUUCCGACCUGCACGAAUGGCGUAAUGAUGGCCAGGCUGUCUCCACCCGAGACUCAGUGAAAUUGAACUCGCUGUGAAGAUGCAGUGUACCCGCGGCAAGACGGAAAGACCCCGUGAACCUUUACUAUAGCUUGACACUGAACAUUGAGCCUUGAUGUGUAGGAUAGGUGGGAGGCAUUGAAGUGUGGACGCCAGUCUGCAUGGAGCCAACCUUGAAAUACCACCCUUUAAUGUUUGAUGUUCUAACUCGGCCCCAUAAUCUGGGGUGAGGACAGUGUCUGGUGGGUAGUUUGACUGGGGCGGUCUCCUCCCAAAGAGUAACGGAGGAGCACGAAGGUUAGCUAAUCACGGUCGGACAUCGUGAGGUUAGUGCAAAGGCAUAAGCUAGCUUGACUGCGAGAGUGACGGCUCGAGCAGGUACGAAAGUAGGUCUUAGUGAUCCGGUGGUUCUGAAUGGAAGGGCCAUCGCUCAACGGAUAAAAGGUACUCCGGGGAUAACAGGCUGAUACCGCCCAAGAGUUCAUAUCGACGGCGGUGUUUGGCACCUCGAUGUCGGCUCAUCACAUCCUGGGGCUGAAGUAGGUCCCAAGGGUAUGGCUGUUCGCCAUUUAAAGUGGUACGCGAGCUGGGUUUAGAACGUCGUGAGACAGUUCGGUCCCUAUCUGCCGUGGGCGUUGGAAGAUUGAGAGGGGCUGCUCCUAGUACGAGAGGACCGGAGUGGACGAAUCACUGGUGUUCGGGUUGUCAUGCCAAUGGCAUUGCCCGGUAGCUAAAUUCGGAAGAGAUAACCGCUGAAAGCAUCUAAGCGGGAAACUUGCCUCGAGAUGAGUCUUCCCUGGGGCUUUAAGCCCCCUGAAGGAACGUUAAAGACUAUGACGUUGAUAGGCUGGGUGUGUAAGUGCAGCGAUGCAUUGAGCUAACCAGUACUAAUGAUCCGUGAGGCUUAACCUU